AUAUGUCCCCAAUUGCAGCUGAUUUUUUUCUCUUUCUUGAUCAAAAAGCACACCAACUUGGGGCCAACGCCAGUAAACACCCUUUCUAUUUAUAUUUGAACUGCCCUGCAUCUCCAGAGAGCUCUGAUGCAGUCCAAGAUCUUACUUGAAGCCCGAAGCCAUUUCCUCAGAGUCUUUCUUACAAGACUCCAAUGCCUCAGUGACUUUCUGCAUCAGCAAUUCCAUCUCUGGGGCACGAAGAUUGAUUUUCUUUCUCCCUGCGAGUGAAAGUCCAGAAUGUGUGCCCCCUGCAUACUAUCCUGAGAGACCGACAAUACAACCACCAGAUCAACUUGAAAAACUCAUCGGGGGGGGCCCUCCAACCACCUCUGCGCUUCUCACUAGGUUAAGUGCUCCAUAUAUCAAUGAAGGCAAGACCCACUCACCCCAGUUCCCACCAGAGCUGCACACUGUGGUUAUCUUUAGCUGAAGUUUUGUAACGCUCCUACAUAGAAAAUCUACACACAGCAUCUCAGUGCAUGCAUGAACAUUCAGGAUGCAAUCUUGAAACUGGGGCCUGAAAAUCACAUACAUCUUGGUCCAGGGCUGAAGUAAAAAUAAGGUGCUUUGCUUGAUUGAUUAGGAAAUCAUUAAUGUGGUCAUAUAUAUGUGUGCUUUACACAUAUUUGGGGUCAUUUUAAAUGCUCAAACUGAGUUAACAUAUAAAUGAGUUGCUUAAAAAUAAGAGAAUUUUUUAUUUUGUUUUGUCUUGUAUUUUAGAACUAGAAAAGUCCCCUUUUAAAGCAAGCUUGAUAAUUUCAGGAAAAUAUUUGAAUUUUUAAUUAAAACAGAGAUCGGGAAAAGGCAACAUUGAUGAGUAUCAACAAUAUAUCUGUUUGUAAUAGACUAUUUUCUGUACUUUAAGAAAGUACUUUCUGUUUUAUGCAAGAAAGAUUGAGAACUAAGACAGGGUAGAGGAGGUAGGUGGGGAAAUUCAGACAUAUAAUCUGAACACACAUGAAGUAGAGUAGCCAGGCUCCAAAAUACGGACCUACAAACUUAUUAAAGAGUGACGACAUUACUUUCCCACAUGCAAAUUAAUGUUGUUUAUUGUUGGCAAGAAUAUGAGAGUCAUAAUAUGGCACUCUUUCUGAGUUCUACAUCUAUAUAAGCAAAAUAAAUAAUAAUGAUAGGAACCCAAAUUGGUCGAAAACUCAAGUUAUUUUAAUCACUAUUAGACUGUAAUCUUAGCUAGAAAGGGCAUUUGUCAUUUCCUCAUUAUCAUUUGAUUAUUGAAAGUUUCUAGAAGAAAAUUGCAAAAAACUUCACCUCAUUCUUUGAAAAACAUUAAGCAAACAAAUAUUGCCUUGAACCAAGGUAUAAAAAUUGGUGAUUUAGCUUUUUUGACAUAAUCCAUACAAUAACUGAAAUUUGAUUACACUAGUAUGAUAUUUCAAAUUUGAAAUUUAAAAAUUUAAAUUAUUGCAGUGUGGUUUGUCUUUAAAACCAUCAUCUAUAACACAUAUCUUUAGAAAAGUGACUGUUAUAUUUUCUGGUGUUACAUUAAUAUUACUUGUGCUUUGUUUUAUUUGCAAGUGAUGUAUUUUAUUUGAUAUUUUGUUCUCCAUACUAUAAUCACUUUAAUACUUUCCGAUACAAAUUGAUCUAUAAGUUGCCAAAUCAACAUUCUUUAUCAUAUCACACGUAUAACAUUCAUUUAGAUCUUGUUUAUCGAGACAUCUUUUACAAAAUCCUGUACAUUUUCAAAAGAUCCUAUUGAGAUAAAAUUCGAAGAAAGGAUCCUUAAAUGAAAGAGAGAACCUCUCCAAUGUCUGAAUAUUUAAGCAUCAAAUUCCUAUAAAAAUGUAUCAUGGUUAUAUGAAAGCACAUAGCCUUAUAAAGACUAGGUACCCUUAUCUUUUAUCUCACAUAAUAAAAAUAAAUAAAAGACCAGAAGAGAUUCACUGUCUCUCUACUACCCUCAUUAGCAAACAUCUGGCAAGCAAACUAUCACGAGUAAUAUUAUUUAACAACUUUUUUUUUUUGAUGGUAGGGGGUGGUGGUGAAAGGGCAGAUUGAAAUGAUAUAUGUCAAAUAUUAGUAGUCUUUUAAGAAGCCAUCGCCCAUGGCCCUUAACCCCUUACAGAUGGCAAAUAAGGUGCAGAGCAAACGAAAUUAAGAUGAUAGUGUGUUGACAGGAGCAGGCAGAUUCCAGCUUUCAUCCCUACAGACAACAGGAAUGACCACAUCUUUUCAAACUGACACAUUAAUGAAUUUAGCAACACCUGAACUUUUCUGGCAGGAGACACCUUUGACACCAGCAGGUUCUUUCGUGUCAGUAAUAAAAGGAUUCUGUAUCAUUCCCCGACUCCAUAUUUGAUGGCAGAAUUACCUUUUGGGCCCUAACAAGUUGACAGGGUUUCAUUUUGCUUCCUCUUUUAAUGACAUCUUCUUUGCAGGUGAACUGGAGAUGUAACGACUUCCUUUUUUGUCUUGGAAGAUUCCUAAAUGUCAUUGAGAGACCCAAGACGUCUCAAUCUCACUUAAUGCAAACGGAAAACCAAGGGUUUUUAAAGGUGAAAUGGAUCUUGCUAAUGAAGAAGUAUCACUCUUCGUGGGGCAUGCAGCUUGUUAGUUCAAGUUAGAAUUCUGGGCAGUAGGCGUGUGCCAAGCUGCAAGACUUUUUCUCCUCCUAAAUGAAUCGUGCAGUAAAUUGGGCAUUUGGAUCUUUCCCUUGUGAAGCUAUCUCACAAGUAAUACAUUCAUGGUAAGAAGGACUUUGAAGUCAGGCAGACAUAUGUGGAUCCCAGCCCGACCACUGAACUCUGAUCUCUGGCAAGCGACUUCAGCUUUCUGGGUAUCUGUUUCUUCAUCUCUAAAAUGG